rnacentral:rRNA from 1 species
UACGUAGGGGGCUAGCGUUGUUCGGAAUUACUGGGCGUAAAGCGCACGUAGGCGGAUAUUUAAGUCAGGGGUGAAAUCCCAGAGCUCAACUCUGGAACUGCCUUUGAUACUGGGUAUCUCGAGUAUGGAAGAGGUGAGUGGAAUUCCGAGUGUAGAGGUGAAAUUCGUAGAUAUUCGGAGGAACACCAGUGGCGAAGGCGGCUCACUGGGCCAUUACUGACGCUGAGGUGCGAAAGCGUGGGGAGCAAACAGG